rnacentral:rRNA from 1 species
UACAGAGGUCUCAAGCGUUGUUCGGAUUUAUUGGGCGUAAAGGGUGCGUAGGCGGCGGAGUAAGUUGGGUGUGAAAUCCCGGGGCUCAACCUCGGAAUUGCAUUCAAUACUGCUUCGCUCGAGUACUGGAGAGGAGGCUGGAAUUUACGGUGUAGCAGUGAAAUGCGUAGAUAUCGUAAGGAAGGCCGGUGGCGAAAGCGAGCCUCUGGACAGUUACUGACGCUGAUGCACGAAGGCCAGGGGAGCAAACGGG